rnacentral:rRNA from 1 species
UACGUAGGGUGCAAGCGUUAAUCGGAAUUACUGGGCGUAAAGCGUGCGCAGGCGGUUAUAUAAGACAGAUGUGAAAUCCCCGGGCUCAACCUGGGAACUGCCUUUGUGACUGCAUAGCUAGAGUACGGCAGAGGGGGAUGGAAUUCCGCGUGUAGCAGUGAAAUGCGUAGAUAUGCGGAGGAACACCGAUGGCGAAGGCAAUCCCCUGGGCCUGUACUGACGCUCAUGCACGAAAGCGUGGGGAGCAAACAGG